rnacentral:rRNA from 1 species
GACGAACGCUGGCGGCGUGCUUAACACAUGCAAGUCGAACGAAGAGCGGUGGAAGCUUGCUUCUAUCAAUCUUAGUGGCGAACGGGUGAGUAACGCGUAAUCAACCUGCCCUUCAGAGGGGGACAACAGUUGGAAACGACUGCUAAUACCGCAUACGAUCUAACCUCGGCAUCGAGGAUGGAUGAAAGGUGGCCUCUAUUUAUAAGCUAUCACUGAAGGAGGGGAUUGCGUCUGAUUAGCUAGUUGGAGGGGUAACGGCCCACCAAGGCGAUGAUCAGUAGCCGGUCUGAGAGGAUGAACGGCCACAUUGGGACUGAGACACGGCCCAGACUCCUACGGGAGGCAGCAGUGGGGAAUCUUCCGCAAUGGACGAAAGUCUGACGGAGCAACGCCGCGUGAGUGAUGACGGCCUUCGGGUUGUAAAGCUCUGUUAAUCGGGACGAAAGGCCUUCUUGCGAAUAGUUAGAAGGAUUGACGGUACCGGAAUAGAAAGCCACGGCUAACUACGU